rnacentral:rRNA from 1 species
GACGAACGCUGGCGGCGUGCUUAACACAUGCAAGUCGAGCGGCAGCGGGUCCCCNCGAGGGAGUNCCGGCGAGCGGCGGACGGGUGAGGAACACAUCGGAAUCUGCCUGGUUGUGGGGGAUAACGUAGGGAAACUUACGCUAAUACCGCAUGCGACCCUGAGUCGACGGACUUGGGGUGAAAGUGAGGGACCUUCGGGCCUCACGCGACCAGAUGAGCCGAUGUCGGAUUAGCAGUUGGCGGGGUAACGGACCCGCCAAGGCGACGAUCAGUAUCCGGCCUGAGGAGGGCGGACGGACAC